CACGUAGGGGGCAAGCGUUGUCCGGAAUUAUUGGGCGUAAAGAGUUCGUAGGCGGUCUGUUGCGUCCGCUGUGAAAACUCGGGGCUUAACCCCGAGCCUGCAGUGGAUACGGGCAGACUAGAGGUAGGUAGGGGAGAAUGGAAUUCCCGGUGUAGCGGUGAAAUGCGCAGAUAUCGGGAGGAACACCAGUGGCGAAGGCGGUUCUCUGGGCCUUACCUGACGCUGAGGAGCGAAAGCGUGGGGAGCGAACAGG
rnacentral:rRNA from 1 species